rnacentral:lncRNA from 1 species
AGCAUUUGAGAGGUCAAAGCAAGAAGAUCAAAAAAUUCAUGGGCGAGUGGUGGCGUACACCUUUGAUCCUAGCACUCGGAGUGCAGUACUUGGAAGGAAGAGGCCACCUGGUCUCUGGUCUACUUCCAGGACAGCCAGGGGUACACAGUGAAACCCUGUCUCAACACACAUGCCUCUCCCUCCUUCCCCCUCCUCCCCUUCCUCCUCCCCUCCCUCCCUCCUCUCUCUCUCUCUUUCUCUCUCUCUCACACACACACACACACACACACACACACACACACUCAAGGCCAUCUUUAGCAACAUGAGUUAGAGGCCAGACUGGGUCACCUACAACCCUAUCUCAACAAAAGGCUUUGCUUUGGAGGGAUAUCCCCCCCCCUUUUUUUAACGGGUUUUUGUUUUGAGACAGGGUCUCAUGUAACCCCACUGGUCUCCCACUCCUGCACACCCGAUCCUCUUGUCUUCUCCAGGAUUGGGAUUAUAUGUGCCCCACCCACCGAGCCCACUUGUAUUCAGUGCUCGGUGGAAUCUAGGGCUUGCUGCAUGCUAGGCAAAAGCACCUCACCACCUGAGCUACAUUCGCCUGGCCCGGUUUGUUUUGAUUCAGGAGCUGUGGAGAGCCCAGACCCACUGAAUUGCAGCACUCUGUAGUCUGCUCACAGCCUUGGGAUCGGUUUCCCAGCGCCGGCUC